UAUAAAAGGCACGCAUCUGUCCGGACUUCUCAGUUCUCUGUGGUUACCUACGACGAAAAGUUAAACAAAAAUCAUGGACAAAGACGGUAGAGACAAUAGAAGCAAUCAGCUAAAUCAAAACCAUCCAUCCUAUCAAGCUGGAACGGUUACUCAUGGCUACAAUUCUCAGCAACACUACAAGGACAAUAGGUCCAACCAGCUGAAUACAAACAACGAACAAUAUUACAAGUCAAGGGCUGACAAUUCUAACAACUCUAACAAGAAAUAGUGAACAAACUAAAGAAAAACAUGUAAACAAAUACAUUGCAAUAAAAAAUGAUUAAAUAAAAAUCUGUCUAGAAUAUUGUUACGAAAUAAACCCAUACGCCGCCCCGGUACGACGCCUGUGAGUGUUCUAGUAUGUAUGUGUUUCUUCUAGUAUGUAGUAUGACUCAUCGAGCGGGCGGCGCGGCGCUCGCUAAAGAAAAGCCUGGAAGCGGAUGUCGCGACGGACCCAGAAAACCCUCGAGGCGGCAUUCUUUGAUCCAUCGAGAGAAACGUAUAGAUUUAAAUAGAGGCCACCGUCGGGGACGAUUAUCAUUCAUCCAAUUGAGUCGAGUUCAGCGAGUGCCGAUCGUUGUUAAUCGUGUGAAUUUGAGUUACUAAGAAAUAAAUUCUAGUGUAAGUAUUUCCACUCUUGCAACAAACUCCAGCAACUACCAACAGAUGUCACUUCGAUUACUUAUAUGAUACGUCAAGUGAAUAUUCGAAUCUGUUACCUGUCAAACUAUUUUGACAAAACAAGUAUAGGCUGUUGACUCAUCAAGAGCAUGUAUUUAUCGGUAAACAUAUGAUAUCAUUAAAAAUAACACAGAUAAAAAUUACUGUAUUUAAAAGUAUUCCUGGUGAUAUGCUGCUCAUCUUGUACUUUAAACGUCUUGUGCUAGCUUCACGCUGUGUUAAGUGAAAUCCCUGAUUUUCUAUAUGUGUGUUUACUAGAAUAUAGUCGCGUUGAGCACAAAGUUUCAACAGUUGUAACUACGGUAGAUAAGAUGGGCAACGCGGGUUCAAGCAAUCGAUGGGGACAUCGUACCUCUGGGUACAAGUCCCAAAAAUGUUACCUUAAUAACAGAGCCAAUCAGUUGAACCCGAACAAUUCUGCUUAUUGGAAGUCUUGCGCUAGACAUGGGACUGCUAAUAGCGGGUGGAGCUGCUGCAAUGUACUUUAACACAAGGUGUGGUUUUUGGCAGAGUAAGAAUUUUUGUAAGCAAAAGAUAAAUAAAAAGUUGUUAAAUGUU